AUUGAACGCUGGCGGCAGGCCUAACACAUGCAAGUCGAACGAGUGGCGGACGGGUGAGUAAUGUCUGGGAAACUGCCCGUUGGAGGGGGAUAACUACUGGAAACGGUAGCUAAUACCGCAUACCAUCGGAUGUGCCCAGAUGGGAUUAGCUAGUUGGUGGGGUACCGGCUCACCUAGGCGACGAUCCCUACCUGGUCUGAGAGGAUGACCGGCCACGCUGCAACUGGGCGACGGUCCGGACUCCUACGGGAGGCGGGAGUGGGGAAUAGUGGACAAUGGGCGCAAGGCUGAUGCAGCCAUGCCACGUGUAUGAAGAGAGCCUUCGGGUUGUAAAGUACUUUCAGCGAGAAGGCGUUACUCGAAGAAGAAGCACCGGCUAACUCCGUGCCAGCAGCCGCGGUAAUUC
rnacentral:rRNA from 1 species